rnacentral:rRNA from 1 species
GGAAUCUUGGACAAUGGGGGCAACCCUGAUCCAGCGACGCCGCGUGGGUGAUGAAGGCCUUCGGGUUGUAAAGCCCUUUCACCGGGGACGAUGAUGACGGUACCCGGCGAAGAAGCACCGGCUAACUCCGUGCCAGCAGCCGCGGUAAUACGGAGGGGGCUAGCGUUGUUCGGAAUUACUGGGCGUAAAGCGCACGUAGGCGGCUUUGUAAGUUAGAGGUGAAAGCCCGGAGCUCAACUCCGGAACUGCCUUUAAGACUGCAUCGCUUGAACGUCGGAGAGGUAAGUGGAAUUCCGAGUGUAGAGGUGAAAUUCGUAGAUAUUCGGAAGAACACCAGUGGCGAAGGCGACUUACUGGACGACUGUUGACGCUGAGGUGCGAAAGCGUGGGGAGCAAA